GUGUCAGCAGCCGCGGUAAGACGAACCGUGCGAACGUUGUUCGGAAUCACUGGGCUUAAAGGGCGCGUAGGCGGGCGGUCAAGUCCGGGGUGAAAUCUUUCGGCUCAACCGGAAAAGUGCCUUGGAUACUGCUGCCCUGGAGUGAGGUAGGGGCCGCGGGAACUUCCGGUGGAGCGGUGAAAUGCGUUGAUAUCGGAAGGAACGCCGGUGGCGAAAGCGGCCUUCUGGACAGUAACUGACGCUGAUACUCGAAAGCGUGGGGAGCAAACAGGAUUAGAAACCCCCGUAGUCC
rnacentral:rRNA from 1 species